ACCAAACAACCAGCUUAAACACCCACCAAAAAAAGGGGGGGAGUAGUGUGGGAGAUUGGUUGUGGUCAGAAAAAUUGUAGAACUUGUUUGUUUAUAGAUUUUUGAAGAAUUUUCCUCUUGCAAAAUAUGUUUUAUUUUAAUUUACAUAUUUCAUUUUUUAAAUCUGUAACUCGAUUAAAUGAUAGCAUCAACAUUUUAGCACAUUCUGUUCUAUUUCUAAACUGUAAACAAAAAAGAAUGACUCUGAUUUUAAUCAAAUAGAUUGAAUUCGCUAAGAUGAAUUUUCAUAUUUUGCAUAUUUUUAGUACCACUUAAAGUUAUGUCUUGUGAAUCUUCAAAAUGUUUUUCUUUUACUAUUAUGUGACUAUUCAAAAAAAAUGUAAAGUUUUUUAUUGUUUCAUUUUUAAAUUAAAAUAAUAGUAAUAAUAAUAAUAAUAUGAAUCUUUGUAGACAAUUUGAUCUCAAUCAAAUUCAAUAUAUUAUAGCAACCAAAACUUGUGCUGGAUUCAUUAAUAUAAAAAUACCUAUUUUAUUUAGUGAAUUAAAAUCAUUUAAUUUUCAAUAUAAUGUUAAAAUAUUGACAGAGAAGUAAGAUUUUGAUUUUUUGGUUCUUUAUUUUAAUUUUUCUUUGCAUAAUUCAAACAUUGAGCUUCAACAAAAAAAAUCAAAAAAAAUUAUGUAUUCCAAUGAUUAGGUUUGAUUCAACAUAGGAGUGAUACACAAAAUCCACUGUGAAAAUUCAAAUGCAUUAAAAUUUAAUGCACAAACUGGAGAUUUUAUUUUAAAAGCAAAAGAGUUAGAAGGUUUUUCAACAAGCUGAAAAUAUUAAACCAGAAACAUAUACAUCAACUGCUUCGCUUACGUCAUUAAUCGUCUUGAUUCUACACUUUUUCAUCAUUUGCAAUCAUCUCUUAUUCUCAUCAACCUUUUGCUCUGUUCACCAAACAUAAAGAACAGCAUCCACACCAAUUGGCAAAACGUGUUAAGCAAUUGCUUUGCAUCAUAAACUUCAACAAUCCAUUUUUUAUUUUAUUUUAUUUUUUCCUUCCUUUGUGAAAUAAAAUCAAGUGAAAACCCAUCACAACUGAUUUAUUUUUCCCCUUAUUUUCACCCAAAAGUGUGAGCUUUGCAACACCCAUGCAAAGAUGAAGAGGAAAGGGUUCAAAACUAUGGUAACGAAAAGCACAUAAUUCCCAUGUGAAAUUAGGGUUUGCAGGUAAGAAAGCAAGGGUUCAGAUUGUUUGAUAGAGUACAGAAAAACCAUUUCCCUGAAGCUGUUUUUUAUGACCCACUUUCUCAUGGGAGUUGUUACUCCAUGUUCACAUGUGCCUAAUUCUCCCCUAUUCCUUGCAAGGACAUCUGUUAGUCAGCCAGUCAGUGUUGUUGUGGCUGCCAUGAGAUUGAAGUUGACACCACUCCUCAGGCCAUUGCUUCUCAAACCAUGAUCGUCAGUCUCUUAAAUUAAACACUCAUCUCUUCAUGUCCAAAUCAACAAAUCAAAACAUAAUAAUAAAUAAACAAACCAACAAAUGUGGAGAUAAAAGGAACAAAACAAACACACAUGUGUUUUACUUAUUCAAUGGACAAAUGAAAUGAAGUACCCACACAGACAUGUCACAUUCUAUGUGCGAAUUCAGCCAUCACCCAACAAACCCUAAAACUGAAAUCCACCCUAAGCCCUAAUUCACAGGUGGCCAUGGCAAAAACCCCACUACAUGAACCGUUUGAGAGAGUGUGAAGGGGCAGCAUUAAUGGGGGACUUGAGAGCCAUGUCGAAUCCAUGUUGUGGUUUUGCAAUCAAGUUGAAACCCUCUGUUGCAAGGUGUGAAUGAUGAUUGAGAAAUUGGGGCAUUCAUUCAUUGUACAUGUAGGGCUUAGGAUGGGGAGUGGAGUGUGGGAGUAGGAGUAGUAGUAGUAGGAGUACUUGGGGAUUUUGAGGGGGGUGGGGUUGGGGUGUGACAAGUAACUUAGCCUUUUGUGAAUGGUGAGUGGGGAGAGUCAUAAUGUGGCCAAGAGUUAUGCCCUUUUUAUGAUAUUGACUAUGUCUUUUUGCCUUCUUAGGUUAGCUUCUCAAGGUCAUUUUCCAUCACUUGAAUCAGAGUAAGAAAUCUUGGUAUAUUCCAUGUAAUAAAAUACAAAAAAAAACUCCCUUGUAAAGCCAAAUUAUAUAUAUAUAUAUAUAUAUAUGAAUGUUGAAAGAAUGUUCAAGUGAAAUUUGGAGAUCUUUGGUUUCAAUUGAACAAUUGCUGAUUACAGUUUUUUGUAAUUCCAGCUUAUUCGAAUGCUUAUAAAAACAUGAAUUUAUGAAGUUAUGUUUCUCUGUUUCUCUGUUUCUCUUUUUCUUAAGCAAGUCAAGUUUCACUAUUUUGUCAGAUCUUUUCCUCUUGGUCUUUCAGCAGAAAGAAAAUAAAAUGCACAAGAGAAAUGUAAUUCCAAUUUGCAUUCAACUGCAUGAAUAUAAUGAUUUUGAAUUUAUCUUUUAACUUUUGAAAAGGAUUGAGUGAGAAGAUGAAGACUUGGAUUGUUUGAAAUAUGAUUGUUUUCUUUUUUUCUUUGAAAUAAUUGAGUGGUGUCAUUCUUUUGACAACAUUGUGUUCAGAAUACAUCUCUGAUUAGUCCACACAUGGUCCAUGUAAGAAAAAGUACAUCACUGUUUUUAACUAAAUAAACAUUCUUAAAAGCCAAAAAAAGAAGGAAAUCUUCAGCUUGAUUUGUCCACAGCUUUUUCUUGUCGAGUCAUACAGAAGACAAUGCAAGACAAAGUAUGUAAUCCAAGACGAAAAUGCAUGAAAGGUGUCAGAAAUUAGCCCUUUCAAUAAACCAUAGAUUCCAUGACGUCAUACUGCAAACAAGCAUUUAAUGAGAAGCAUGUUUUGUGUUUGUUUAAGUUGAGAGAAUGUGGUGUUUUUUGUCUUGUGAUAAAAUUUGCAUUUUGUCAACAAUUUGGAAUGUGGAUUUUAUUCAUGAAUCAAACAUAUAUAUAUAUAUACACACACACACAAUAAACAAAAGAAAUAAAAACAAUUAAAAUUGUGAAAGAGAACUAAUUCAUCUCUGUCUUUUCUUAUUUAAAGGAUCACACAUCAUGGAUGCCUAAAUUACUAAUUAUUCCUUAAAUCAUCCAUGUAAAUAAAGUGUAAAAUUGUUGUGUUAACACUUGUUACUAAACGUUAGGAAAUUUACUGUACAGGAAUGUAUUGAAGUAAGUUAGGACAUGUUUGCAUUUUCAAAAAAUAUAUAUAUAUUAUGUUAUGUCUUUCUAUAUGUAAUCUAUUUUUGAUAUUCUUAUUUUAGAAGUAUUAAUCACAAUCAAACUUAUUUUUAAAAAUGAAAUAAAAAAUUGUUAAACAAAUCACUUUAUGAAAUUUCACUUGGUUAAAUGUGUGUAAAAAGAAAAGCUCCGGUCUUCAUUUCUUUUCAUAAAAUUAUGUUUCGAUAUAUUCUUACUCAUAUUGAAUUAUGGAAUCCAAAAUUCUUUCCAACUACAUUUAUUUACAUUUUUUGGAGCUUCAAAACACAAAUUGAAAAUAGAAAAAUCUGAUAUACUUUGUAACAUAAAGAUAGAUUUCAUAUUUUGUUUUUGACUUGAGAUUGGAAGUAAUAGAGGACAAAAUGUUUUCCAUUCUUAAGACCACUAAAAAAUGUUUAUUUGAAUGACAUCUUUGAAUUGAAGGGUUCAUCCAUUCAGGAAGUCAAAAUUUCACUUUCUUU
rnacentral:lncRNA from 1 species